UUGGAGGGCAAGUCUGGUGCCAGCAGCCGCGGUAAUUCCAGCUCCAAUAGCGUAUAUUAAAGUUGUUGCAGUUAAAAAGCUCGUAGUUGAACCUCGGGAUCAAUGGGUCGGUCAUGCCCUCGGUAUGUACUGGCCUCAUUGGUUCUCACCUUCUAAGGAACCUUAAUGUCAUUAAUUUGAUGUUUUGGGGAAUUAGGACUGUUACCUUGAAAAAAUUAGAGUGUUUAAAGCAGGCUAACGCUUGAAUACAUUAGCAUGGAAUAAUGAAAUAGGACAUCGCAUUCUAUUUUGUUGGUUUCUAGGAUCGAUGUAAUGAUUAAUAGGGAUAGUUGGGGGCAUUAGUAUCCAAUUGUCAGAGGUGAAAUUCUUGGAUUUAUUGAAGACUAACUACUGCGAAAGCAUUUGCCAAGGAUGUUUUCAUUAAUCAAGAACGAAAGUUAGGGGAUCGAAGACGAUCAGAUACCGUCGUAGUCUUAACCAUAAACUAUGCCGACUAGGGAUCGGACGAAGUUAAUUUUAUAAUGACGCGUUCGGCGCCUUACGGGAAAC
rnacentral:rRNA from 1 species